CCAAAGGCUCUUUUAAGAGCCACCCACUUAAUCAGCAGAAAAGAG
rnacentral:ncRNA from 1 species